AAUCACAAAUAAGAUUCACUAGUAGGUGAUCCAGACCUAGACCUUCAUGUUGUCCAUCAUUCUUUUACCAGCCUCCUCCUUCAACUCACACCUAUGACUACACAGGGUAAUCCUUUAAGGCCUCCAACCAGACACAAAGAAAGAGGGAGAGAAAGAGAUAGCACCCUCAACGGGGCCUUGAAGCUACCAACUAUUCCCCAACUUCAGCCAACCUGGAUCAUUGGGUAGACACAAACCCAGAACCUUUCCAUGAAGGUCAGCAUCACAUAGCAUCAAGAUUAACACAUGUACCCUAUGGCAAAAACCUCUUUAUAAAA